CCAGAUUUUGCAUCCCUCAGAGUGUGGUUCCAGGAUUUUGGUUCAAGCCAAUCUCCUAUUAGCAAAUAAAAUGAGCAGAGGUGCCUUAUAGAAAUAGCAAGACAGAUCAAGCAUCGGAUUUCAGAGGGGCUACUGAUGAGAGCAAGCACUACUUGUGUGGUAACUCGAUGCUUGGGGCAAUCCAGAGGAGGACAAGGACAGAGAGAGAGUGACAGAGAUCAGUAAGAACUAGACAAAACCUGAAUUCCUUUGAAUUUCCAAGGUGGAGAAGGGAAGGUCUAGACUCACUUUCAAACCCGCGGGUCUGAACCUACCCUCUGCCAGAGUUUUGCUUCAGGUCAGAGAAAAGAGAGUGUGGCUGGAUUUGGCCACAGUUUUGCAAGAACAAAGUGUGAGAUUUUGCACUAUCAAAUCCAAACCCAAGUGUAAACCCUACCUCUGAUCAUGCCUGGAACACAAAUCCCAGCGCUGACGCUAAUGGAAAUCCAGACACCAUCUCCUUGGCUCAUCUCUAAUAAAAACAA